GGCCCUGACCAGCUCAACUGGUAGAGCAUGGCAUUAACGUUGCCAGGGUUAGCAGUUCAAUUCCCAUUGGGACCA